rnacentral:rRNA from 1 species
AACGAACGGCUGCGGCGUGGAUAAGACAUGCAAGUCGAACGAAGAAUAUUCGGUAGCAAUACUGGGUAUUUUUAGUGGCGAAAGGGUGCGUAACACGUGGGUAAUCUACCGUAAAGUUCGGAAUAACUUCGAGAAAUCAAAGCUAAUACCGAAUGUGAUCUGACAGGGACAUCCCUGUUCCAUUAAAGCUGGGGACCUUCGGGCCUGGCGCUUUACGAUGAGCCCGCGCCCUAUCAGCUUGUUGGUGAGGUAAAAGCUCACCAAGGCUAAGACGGGUAGCCGGUCUGAGAGGACGAUCGGCCACACUGGAACUGAGACACGGUCCAGACACCUACGGGUGGCAGCAGUCGAGAAUCAUUCACAAUGGGGGAAACCCUGAUGGUGCGACGCCGCGUGGGGGAUGAAGGUCUUCGGAUUGUAAACCCCUGUCAUUUGUGAACAAACCUUUUGGUUUAAUAGAUCAAAAGCUGAUAGUAGCAAAAGAGGAAGGGACGGCUAACUCCGUGCCAGCAGCCGCGGUAAUACGGAGGUCCCAAGCGUUGUUCGGAUUUACUGGGCGUAAAGGGUGCGUAGGUGGCCAGGAAAGUUUGAUGUGAAAGCUCCGAGCUCAACUCGGAAAAUGCAUUGAAUACUACUUGGCUUGAGGAUCGGAGGGGAGACUGGAAUUCUCGGUGUAGCAGUGAAAUGCGUAGAUAUCGAGAGGAACACCAGUGGCGAAGGCGAGUCUCUGGACGAUUCCUGA